GACGUAGGGUCCGAGCGUUGUCCGGAGUUACUGGGCGUAAAGGGCGCGUAGGCGGUUAUCUGCGUCACACGUGAAAGCCCCUGGCUCAACCAGGGAGGGUCGUGUGAAACGGGGUAACUGGAGGCAGAGAGAGGCUGGUGGAAUUCCCGGAGUAGUGGUGAAAUGCGUAGAGAUCGGGAGGAACACCGGUGGCGAAGGCGGCCAGCUGGCUCUGACCUGACGCUGAGGCGCGAAGGCGUGGGGAGCGA
rnacentral:rRNA from 1 species